rnacentral:lncRNA from 1 species
GUCAUAGUGCAGGCUCCACUGGGUGCUUGAGUGAGGCCCCCCGCGUCUCUAUUUCACGCUGUGACUUGCUGCGGGGAGCUGUGAGCCGAGCGGGGAGAGCUCGGAAUCCGCACCAUGUCUUUCAGCUGUUGGCUCCUAUGGAAAUCAAAAUUAAACGAAAUACCUUCUUCAACGAGGAAGAACCAGGGCAGUCACUAUCUGCACCACAUAAAACUCUAACAGCAUAAACAAGUCAAUGUCAAAUUAUUUGAGACUCA